UUGCCCCCGCCGACAGGCCGAAACUUACGUUGCUCAGUCCGAGCGUGGUAAACGACUCUGGGAAUUUCUGCUUGACCAGUCUGAUGCCCUCAAGCGUGUUCUUCGCCGAGUCGGCAAACUCAGCCUCCCCCGUCGCUAGCGUGAACGUGAGCACAUCAUAGAUGAACUGCCAUCCUUGCAACCCGUAUUGCUUUCCGGUGUCGAAGAGCAGCUGCGCGGUUUCCAGCUUUUCUUGUGGCGUUUUGGCCAUCCCCUUUGGACCGAUGCACAUCGCUAUCGCAGGCAGACCGUACUUUGCCAUAAGCGGAGCCAGUGAGUGGAAGCGGGAGCCGUCCCCUUCGAGGUUUAUCGAGUUGAUUAUCGGCCUG
rnacentral:misc_RNA from 1 species